AUCGAGGGCGAGGGAGGGGACGCGCUGCCCCGAGCGCCUCGCGGGGGGAACAAGGCACCUUUUGUGCAACCUGGCGCCCUUCUCUGCAGCUCCGCCGCUUGUUUUCCUCCAGCUUUGCUCUCGCCUCUCCCUCUGCCCUGACAUCUGCAGCGGGGAAAGAUGCCGUGAGGUGGACAAAGAGGGCAAAAAGUUCUCUCCCCAGGUCCCCAAACCAGUGGGGGGGUGAGGAGCUGAGUCCCAGCCAGGGCACCGCAUGGCACAGCUCUGUGCCCCUCAGGGUGGCACGGCCAUAAAGCCCCUCAUCUUGCCCCAGUUCCUGAGGUGGUGGGAGGUAGCAGGGCUCUGCCCCAUAUCUCUGCCCCACAUUUCAGCCCCUGGCACUGGGCAGAGGCAAAACACAGCUUUAGCAGAGGGUUAUGGCAGGAAGGGGGCUUAAAUCACCUUUGGGAGGACUGAGACGAGAAAUUGCUGUGGCACAGGGGGGAGCUGAGGGCUUGCUGGCCUUUGGCACCAGGCAUCACCGUGCCACCUGAGCAGGAAUUGCUCCUCAGCUGGAGGUGCUCGUUGUGGGCUCUGCUCUGUUGACUGCUGCAGGUAGGACCCUGCCUUUAUUCACACACUUGUACCCACAGGCUUUGGUGGAGAUGAGAUCUAAAAGGCCAUUUUGGCCAAUGUGCAGAGCAUUCCCAUGCUAUUGCAGUGCUGUGUUGGACCUCCCCUGCAGCUGUACAAGCCGCAUCGUCUGUACCAGCAGGAGCCAGGGCAUUGCUCCUUUUCUCCAGGUACCAGGAGAGGCACGCUGAAAGCAAAAGCAGCUUCUGGCAAUGAGGAACCGAGUAAGCACCAUGAGAUGGAAGGAAGGUAAAGUGCAGAGGCUGCAACUUGAAGUCAACGUGUGUGACUCCAUCUGCUGUACCACCUACAUUCAGGGCGGUGUGACGUGGCCAGAAGCUGGCGUUACUGGCCUUUGAACGGGCUCCCACAGCUAAGACUGAAGGAUGAAACCGGGUGCUUCUGCACCUUUGUUCCCUCCUGCCACCACUGGCAAGAAAAAAGCGAUGUGGCUGAGGCUGUGCUGGGUCUAUUCCACUGUACUUUCAGCCCUUGGCUAGUGUAAAUUAGCGCAGACCUCAAAC